rnacentral:rRNA from 1 species
CGGACGGGUGAGUAACGCGUAUGCAACCUACCCUUGAGCGGGGGACAAUCACGGGAAACCGUGGCUAAUACCGCAUAAAAUCUCGGUUGCGCCUGCAACCGAGAUCAAAGCCUUCGGGCGCUCUUGGAUGGGCAUGCGUCGGAUUAGCUUGUUGGUGAGGUAGAAGCUCACCAAGGCAACGAUCCGUAGCUGGUCUGAGAGGAUGAUCAGCCACACUGGCACUGAGACACGGGCCAGACUCCUACGGGAGGCAGCAGUGGGGAAUCUUGCACAAUGGAGGAAACUCUGAUGCAGCCACGCCGCGUGGAGGAAGACACCCCUAUGGGGCGUAAACUCCUUUUCUGCCGGAAGAAAACCCUGGUCUCCAGGGCGUGACGGUACGGCAGGAAUAAGCACCGGCUAACUCCGUGCCAGCAGCCGCGGUAAUACGGAGGGUGCAAGCGUUGUCCGGAAUUACUGGGUGUAAAGGGUGCGCAGGCGGGGCAGCAAGUCAGAGGUGAAAGCCCACGGCUUAACCGUGGAAGUGCCUUUGAAACUGCUGUUCUUGAGUCCCGGAGAGGUCGUCGGAAUUCGUGGUGUAGCGGUGAAAUGCGUAGAUAUCACGAGGAACACCAGAGGCGAAAGCGGACGACUGGACAGGUACUGACGCUGAGGAGCGAAAGCGUGGGGAGCGAACAGGAUUAGAUACCCUGGUAGUCCACGCCGUAAACGGUGGGUGCUAGUUGUGGGCCACAUUCCACGUGGUCCGUGACGAAGUUAACACAUUAAGCACCCCGCCUGGGGAGUACGGUCGCAAGACUAAAACUCAAAGGAAUUGACGGGGGCCCGCACAAGCGGCGGAGCAUGCGGAUUAAUUCGAUGCAACGCGAAGAACCUUACC